rnacentral:rRNA from 1 species
AGUUUGAUCCUGGCUCAGAAUGAACGCUGGCGGCAGGCCUAACACAUGCAAGUCGAACGGAGUUAUAUUGUAGCUUGCUAUGGUAUAACUUAGUGGCAGACGGGUGAGUAAUGUAUAGGAAUCUACCUAGUAGUACGGAAUAAUUGUUGGAAACGGCAACUAAUACCGUAUACGCCCUACGGGGGAAAAAUUUAUUGGCUAUUAGAUGAGCCUAUAUUAGAUUAGCUAGUUGGUGGAGUAAUAGCCUACCAAGGCAAUGAUCUAUAGCUGAUCUGAGAGGAUGAUUAGCCACACUGGAACUGAGAUACGGUACAG